GUGAGUGCCGCCUCGCCCCACCAGCUUCGAGCAUCGUGGAUCCAUCAGGAAUGGAGGGCAGCAAGUGGAGAAAGAUGAAGGUUGCACAACACCGAGAUGAUGAUGUAUGAGUUGGAAUGGUUGGGUUUUGAGUGGUAGCUGAACCCUAUGCCGGCGGUGGUAGCGGCCAUCAUUGGUAUACAACAAUUCAGCAAUUGUCUCGGGUUGUUCUUGAGCUCCACGGCUGACCUAAGAUUGGUAAUUCGGCAUCGGCAUGCUUUACUUGAAUCUAUACUGCAAGCCCCAGGUCGAUUCAAUUCUGGAUAGAAACUUCUUUGUGAAAAUGUGAAAGCUUGACUCAUGCCUCUAUGGGCUGGAGCUGGAGGCUGCACUGCUCUGUGUGUGGGUGGGUAGUGAGAAGAAGUCACUGGUGGAAAGCUGGCAAGUUGCGGUGACCGGCAAGACUUAGGGUUUCAUGUUUCCUGCUUACUACUAAAUUUUUGAUGGCCUUCAUUAGUCAAUUUCUUCACAGAGUGGCCUACUGGCCACUAUACCUUUUUUUGUGUUUAAUCGGCGUGCUCGCAUUAGUGGACUCACUAAAAACAUGUAUGCGGGCAUGGUGUAUGGGGUGGAGGCCAGGACUUUGGCCGUCGGCGCGAACUCGAUGUUCUGUGGUCUGAUUUUGUUUUGAAUUACUUUCUAUCCACAAUCUCUUAGACUCUAGCUAGAAAUUGGUUAAAAGAGUAGAUUUGUUAGUUUCCUAAAAUUUUCUUCCAUGAAAUAAUAUGAUUAUGCUCUUUAGGGUUGUUUUGCUAUUCCAAAGGCACAUGGGAGUUUGCGAAAAAAAACUGACAAUCUUUCUCUUGGAUAUUCAGAAAAGGAAGACACUUGACAAUCUAGCUCUGCUGCAGGUAUGUCUGUUGUGUGCCUCUAUUUACUUACUUGCUAUGCGCAUGGUUUAGUUUAGAGAGAACUACAGUGCUUUGAGGUUAUUGUAUGUGUUGUGUUCCCUAUUGUUCAUGGAAGUUGUUUUUGGGCAUUAUUCUGCAAGGACCGUGUGUAACUACUUAGAAGCAUGAAAUAGCUAUGUAGCCAUCUGGCCAGCCAAGUACUAGGUAAAGUUCCUUCCUGUAAUAGUAGCCUUACAUAUUAGCGUAAGGGCUUACAUUCUUCGGGAUAUAGGUGUUUCAUGGUAUGGUAGAAAGUACUAAUUGCGCAGGAUGGUUGCAACAUCUGAGCAAAUAGUUGGUUUGAAUAUUUUGUAGUUGUGAUAUGCACUUGGAGUUGCUGGCCUUUUUGGUAUCAGCUUCGUCGUCGCCAUACUCUUUUGGUAGAUAUUUAAACAUGGCUUAGUAAGUAUCACACUUGCAAAGGGAGAGACAAAGCGCACUUAAGAGUUGCACAAGCUACUUGCUUCAUUAGCGAACAAUUAGAUUAUGAUAUUAAUGCAAUAUCGAUUCCUACUUUCAGGUUUAUUAGUUGGUUUUUUAUAUUGACUUUAGGAUGGCCAGUGUAUUUUGAUUAAUAUAUAAUGUGCUGCCAUUCGUUAACUUCAAUAUAUUUUCAUGCAUGUUCUUUGUACAUUCUUUCCGUUUAGGUUGUUUAAUAUAUAUGUGCUGCCAUUUAUUAACUUAAAUAUAUUUUGAUGCAUGCCUUUUGUAUAUACUUUCUGUUUUUCGCAAUCCGGUCACUUACUCUUUCAAUUCUAUUUCCUUUUCUGUUUUCUAUCUCUGCUUACAUACAUGCCAUUGCCCACCAAGUAACAUACUACCUCCAAUUUGGGACAGAGGAAGUACCUUUUAGUUUCGUAUGCCACUGAGUAUUGUUUGGUUACUGCAAACCCAAUCUUGUAUGCAAAUUCUAGAAAAAGUAUUUGACUAUAUAGAUAAAUGGUUUAUGCUUCCCAAUAGAGUAAUGGAACCUGUAUGCAAAUUCCGGAAAAUGUAGUUUGGGGCACAAUAUAGUUUCCUGUGUGCAUGUCAUUUCCAUACCUUUAGUAUAGGUUACAGUAUGACAGGGAAACGCAUCAGCAAGCCGAUCUACAUAAGUGAUGAAGAAGGUCAUUGCAACUUGUUUACUUUACAAUCUGUUUACACCUUUUAUUAAUGCUGACUAUUUGAGCACCGACUAAUUACUUUGCAUAUCUUGGUUUUAGUUACCUGCAAAAAAAAAUUUUAUAAGCUUGCAUGCUAUUAGAGUAUAGUGUGUGUAUCUUGGUUUGAGUUACCUACAAAACUAUUUUUUAGAGGCUUGCAGAUUUCUAUUUAGGAAUCCGAUUUCUCUACUGAAUAUGCGAUUCUCACUUCCAAGUGGUAAAUUCUCUGAUCUUUUUGUCAUCUACUUUGACUUGUUAACAUACAUAUCUAAGGAGCAGGAGGUGAAAGUGCAAAUUGAAAUUUCUAUUUUGGAAUGUGAUCUUCUCUACUAAAUGUGAUUAUCACUUUCGUGUGGUAAUUAAUUUCCGAGCCUGUAAAUUCUUUGAUGCAGAAAACUACUAUGGAUGCUGAUCCAUCACAAUAUUGACCAUUAACUUUGUGCUCACCUCCGAGGUUAUUUUGCGUAUAGCCAUUUGCUUCUCUGGCAUUUCCUUGAAGCUGCCAUUGCAAGAGGAAACAGAAGGAUAUCUUCGUGAUCAGCACAUUGGUGUCUAAGGCUACUUGCCGUGUCACUGCGCCCGGCAAGUGCGUGAAUAAACAUGGAUAGAUCAAUAAAGAUAGGUUAAUUACCGACUAUCAUAGCUAAAAGUUCUGAAAAAUCAUGUGAAGUGAUGUUCUUUUGGUUUUCCGCUCAAAUAUCAUCGAUCCUUGUGGCUGCCGAAUCUCUAAUUUAACACAUGUUGGCAGUCUGACAAACAGUAAGACACUUUUGGUGGUACUAAUUAACUCGUCUGAGCCUGAAUGAUAAAGAAAUAUUUUUU